CCUGCCGCGUGUAUGAAGAAGGCCUUCGGGUUGUAAAGUACUUUCAGCGGGGAGGAAGGGAGUAAAGUUAAUACCUUUGCUCAUUGACGUUACCCGCAGAAAAAGCACCGGCUAACUCCGUGCCAGCAGCCGCGGUAAUACGGAGGGUGCAAGCGUUAAUCGGAAUUACUGGGCGUAAAGCGCACGCAGGCGGUUUGUUAAGUCAAAUGUGAAAUCCCCGGGCUCAACCUGGGAACUGCAUCUGAUACUGGCAAGCUUGAGUCUCGUAAAGGGGGGUAGAAUUCCAGGUGUAGCGGUGAAAUGCGUAAAGAUCUGGAGGAAUACCGGUGGCGAAGGCGGCCCCCUGGACAAAAACUGACGCUCAGGUGCGAAAGCGUGGGGAGCAAACAGGAUUAAAUACCCUGGUAGUCCACGCCGUAAACGAUGUCGACUUGGAGGUUGUGCCCUUGAGGCGUGGCUUCCGGAGCUAACGCGUUAAGUCGACCGCCUGGGGAGUACGGCCGCAAGGUUAAAACUCAAAUGAAUUGACGGGGGCCCGC
rnacentral:rRNA from 1 species